UCUCAAAAAAAAAAAAAAAAAUCCUGUAAUAGCUCAUCAAGUGGUCAUUAGCCUCAAUUUGAAACAUGUCCAAUGACAGGGAUCUCAACUGAGGGCAUUUCAUGUCUUCUUACAGGAGGCUGGUUUGGCUCACGCACUCUGCCCUAGAAGCCAGCUGUUUCCCCACUGUUUCCCAGUGCAGAGACAGCAUCACUUCCUGUGAGAAUGCUUUGGUGUCAGUGUGGAGCUGCUGCUUUGUUUGGCCCCCUGGGUAUGCUAGAACCUGGGAAUGGGCCUCUGCAGCUAACCCAGGGUUGGUCAGUUGGUUACUGAAAGGAAAGGGAAUUUAUUUUUAAUUUCCUGGGUUUUCUUGGCUGUUGCUUUGGAGUGGAGAUCAUUUAGCAUCUGGUACGCUGAUGGUCUGAGAAGAAAAGGAAAAGUCUCUGGAAAGGAGUUAGGUGACUACUGGGUAAGAUUGAGCUGACACGAGGGUGGAGAAUAGGGAGAGGUGCCGAGCAGCUAACCUGGUCAUUGUCACUGUCUUCAUUAGGGAGCUUUAUUCCCUUAUGUGCAUCCCUCUCCCAGGUUUAACAGAACACCCAGUAGUGGCAGGGAAUUGUAGCACGAAAGAGCCAAUUGUAGCCCAUCCCACUCACAUUAUAGGCGAGGAAGCUGAGGCCUAGAAAAGGAAAAAGGCUAGCCCAGGGUUGCUAGUGGCAAAGAUGAGACUUGAAUUCAGGUUUCCUGAUUACCAGGCCUGCUCUCGUUCUCCUGCAACAUGUAUAUUAGUCAGGGUCAGCAGAAAACAGACAGCACGUUUAAAUUGGGCAAUUGAGUCAGGGUAUAGGGAAACAACUAUGGAUGGUGGAACAUCCUGGGGCUAGUAACAGUGGGAUCUUACCACCUCUACACCUAGAGACAGAGAGGCUGUGUGGGGGGUCAUCUUACUAGAGCUGAGACUUUGAGUUAAGGGAUUUACCAAGGGAUCUGGGGGAAUAAAAACCCUGUCCUCCCUUUCUUCCUCCCUCUGGUCUCCUGUCAAGGCUUUCCAUGGACCAAACCCAACUGGCAGUCAGGACAAGAGAAUCUUGAUGUACUUCAUACAGGUCAAUUCUAAGGCAUAAUGCAGGGUGGAAUAGGAGGAAUGUACUUAGAGGACAAAUGAAAGAUACCAGCAUAAUAAUAUUUAAUAGUUUACAUUUCUUGAGCUUAGUCUGUACUAAACAUGUCCAUUAUUUCAUUGCAUCUUCCCAUAAACGUGGUUUUCUCCAUUUGACAGAUAAAGAAACUGACUAGUGAAACAACUUGAGGAAUGGAGGUGAUUCUCCAUCUGGGAGGCCAUUUCUGAAUGACCAAGCCCAGCUCAGAUGUCACCUCCACCAUGAAGUCCAAACACCUUUGUGAGUCUUCUCUAAAGGAUUUAUUACGUUAUUCCCUGUGUUACAGUAAUUUGGCAGAAAAUCUACACUUGAGGAAAACUUGGCAUCACAAAGUUGCUUGCCAACACUCCUCGGCUGCCUGCUCCACCUGAGCCCCCGAGCCCAGCUCGUGGAUAUAAGGAGUCAAUCCCAUGGCUCCUCUUCCAGAGCUCCGUUCUGAGGGCAAGGAUGAAGACCCAGCCAUGAACUCCUGAUUCAGUGAGCGACGCUUGUACUCAGGCAGCUGAGAGGAAGAGACCAAGGAGGAACUGGUUCGUUCUGCUGGUGUUUGAGGCAGUGUUCUGCUGGUGUUUGAGGCAGCGUUCAGCUGGAGCCUGCUGUGUGAGGAGGCUCUUAGAGGAAAGAGGGAAAGGCUGCCAGGAGAGGAAAGUGGAGCCAGCCCAGGACACAGAUGAGGGUCAUGACGGUGUCCGGUCUGUCUGAGAAGCAGCAGGAAACCUCGCAGGGUCCAGAGUGGGGCUGCAGGUGCCUGAUGAAAUGAGCUGGGAGGAGUACACAGUGGUGACCUCAGAAUCCUCGAACCUGGCACCAGCCUCACCUCAGUCUCCUGCCAGCUGGCGGCCUUGGCUGUCAUAAAAAAAUCUCUGUAAAUCUCAGUUUGCUCAUCAAUAAAACAGAGAUAAUACUUCUCAGGUUGAUGGGAUUCAAUAAGAAAAUUUGU